rnacentral:lncRNA from 1 species
GGGGCAUAUUAAAUAGCACAUAGUUCUAGAGUAAGUACUACUCUAAAUUAUUCCUUAUUUUCGCCCGCUCUUAAUCUAUAUUGAAUGGCCUAAUAGGUCCACUCCUUAGGCAAACCAUAUUCAUCAGCAAGCGAGAGUUCAUGACAUUCUUCAUGCUUCACCAAGCCACCAGCAUUUGCAUUGGGAAUGUUGAUCGGUUUUGAUCCUCCUACCUCAUUAUGUUUCAUUCCUGUAAUGUCACGAAGAAAAAAUAUAAAUACUCUUAUUAAUUUUGGCUAAUGCCUUGGCCUUGGUCAAAUCACAAAAUCCAAAUAUAUAUAAAAUUAAUUAAGAGAAAACAUUAAAGAAAUCUUUAUAUUACUGGCAUAAAAGAUAAAUAUAUGAGAAAAACACGGACGCACUGAUAGUGUAUGAGUUUUAUACAUUAUCAAUAUAUCAUUCACCAUUCAUAUUUAUUAUUAUUAACUUUUUCAAAAAAUAAUUCAAAUAAAUUGUAUAUGAUAUAAUAAGUAUGUAUAAAUUCAUACACAAUAAAGUAUAGAUUUUAUAAUAUGACAAUAUAAUAAUUAGUCUCAUACAUAUAUAUAUAUAUAUAUAUAUAUAUAUAUAUAUACAAAAUUAUAUAAACAUAUAUUACCUGUAAAAGUAAUUGAUGAUAAAAAUAGAGAGAAGAUGUUUGUACUGAUAAUGUAAAUAUUUUGUAUAACAUCAGAAUAGAUCAUCGACAUUCCUAUUUAAUAAUUAUUUACUCUUAAAUAAAAAUAAGGUAAAUAAAUAAUGGAUGAUAUAUUAACUAUAAUUUAUUAAACAUAACGUAAUUUGUAUAUUACCCAUAAAAGUAAUUGAUGAUAAAUAUUGAAAGAAGAUAUUUGUGCUUACAUUGUAAAUGUUUUAUAGAGCGUCACAAUAGAUUAUUGACAUUAACUCUUAAAUCAAAAAAAAUUUAAAUAAAUAACGGGUGAUGUAUUAAGUGUAAUUUAUUGUUUCCGAAUGUAUACCAUAUAUGUCAAACUAAAAUAAAUAAAGAAUACGAAUAUAAUUAGAUAUAAAAUAUUUUUGUUCAUAAUAUUUGGAAUAGAUACAAAAGUAUUAUAUUAUUGAUUAUAUGAAUAUUUAUGCGGAAAAAUGGUUUCAAAACUAUUUUUUCAUUUAAUUGUGUAAUGCAUUUACUCUUGCAUAUUAAAAAAUUUCAAAAAUACCAUAAUGUUGUUUAUAAAAAUUAAUAAUAUUUAUUUUAAUUUUUUUGGGUGAAAAAUGUGAUUAUUUUUUGAAAGAAAAAAGUCUCCUAGCUGUUUCAAAUAAGAAUGAAAAUUCAUCUCCCAUCAAAAUCAUUAUUUUUUCAUAAAACUUAUUCUUUUAAUAAUUUAAAAUAUGUUUGUCAAACAUAUAAGUUAAAUGAUAAUAAAAUUAAUCUAGACAAAUAUAUAUUUAGUGUUCAAAUUAAUGAUAGGAUAGGUUAUGAUAAGAUAAUUGACCUCUGUUGUUGUUAUUAUUGGAUUGUAGUUGAACACUAGGAAGAGGAUGAAACACACCGGUCCCACGACUAGGUGAAGGAAAAACAUUUUUUUGGCCAUGAACCAUCUCCAUCCUGUGCUUGUUUUUUGAAACUCAUUCAUUCUGAUGUUAACCUACACAACAUAAAAAAGCAGUCAUGGACCAAGUUCAAACGUACAAAAUGGAAAUAAUAAAUGCAAACCCUAAAUAAAACAAAUUAUAUGAUUGGCAUAUAGGAUAAUGAUCCUCCCCAAUACAAGUUUUUGUUACUCAUUUUGUUUUCAAUGAUAAAACUAUUAUUUCAUUGUAAAUAAAAAGAUAAAUGUAUUGUAAUAUAUUUGUUUUUUUGCUUGUUUUUGUAGCAGUUAUCUCUCCUGGAUUGAAGAGGAUCCUUACUCAUUCGUAUAAUGAAACAAAAAAAAUGACCUUAGGAGGUGGUGCUCUAGCAAAAAAGUCAGGUCCGAAACCAAAAGGUUUAGUGCCAAGAGAGCUUGGGCCAGCAACAUAAGUUUUAUACUCACUUGCAAGUGGUGCAAGACUUCCCCAACCAUGUUCAGCUGUUGGAGAUGGAAUUAGACCCUAAGGUUCAAAUAGUAAAAACAUAAAAAUAGUGAGUAAUAUUAAUAUAUAAUCAAAGUUGAAACAUUAUCUACUUGAUUUAUUGUUUAUUUUUUAAUUAUAAUAUGAGGUGAAUAUUGAUCUCAAUUUUUAGCGACAUAAAUGAUAUGAUUGAUAUUUAACACAUAAUGUUUUUACAUAUGAUAUACAAUGAAGUUAUAAUUGAGUUGUUUUAACUUACUUGUAAGAAAAUUAGACAGAAAAUAAAGGAUCAUAUAUGAUUUUGGGUAUGAGUAACUAUUGCUAAAAACAUACAUGUGAAACAAUUCUCUUUCUUGCUGGCGGAGCUAGUGGUGGUAAUGGUUGCGAUGAC